CUAACUAUGAGACCAUGGACAUAAAUGAGACCAAGUUAUAUAAAUACCUUUUGCUUCCUUUUUCUGUAAAAUGGGAAUAAUAACAGCUCUUACCUCAUAAUGUUGUCAUGAACAUUAAAUGAAUGCACCAUUGUGAAGUACUGAGAAUAGUGCAUAGAAUGUGAUAAGUCCAUCUCUGUCAUGAUUAAUAUUGUGUGCCAGGCACUAGACUAGAUGCUAAAACUUCAAAAUGGAACAAAAUAAGGUUUCUGCCCUCAAGGAGCUUACAGUCUAGUGAAAGGGACAGAGACCCUCAUGACUGUGAGUACAGCAUGCUGUGUGGGCAGCACAAGAGAGGAUGGAGUCAAGGAGGCUUUCCAAGAAGAGAUCGUCUACUUGAACCAAACCAGCCGACGGUGAGAAGAGCAGGGACGGAGACCUGGAGGCAACAGUGUGUGUGUCAAGUCUGAGGCCCUGGAGUGGUUCUGAAUGAUGGGGACACGAGUGCCAGAGGGGUUUGAGAUUGAAGAGGAUACCAAACCUUAAGACUAGAUAGAAGUUACCAAGGGAAAGAUCAGCACACAGUACUCUUGAACUACAUGCUAUGCCUCUUCUUCCUGGGACCUCAUGGAUUUAAAUGGCUUAAGAGAACGGGAUGAGAUGUUGAAAAUUGUCUUUUCAAAAGAUCUCACCGAAGGCCAAAGACAAGACCCAUUCAGUCCAAAGGUAUACGUGUGCAUGUGCUAAUGCGUGGGGGCAGGGAUUGAUGGAGUUAACAAAAUGUGCCCAAUCUGCAUCUUAGACAGGAAAAAGAGAGACAUGGGUGAAUUCCAAUUUUCAGCAUGAAUCAAGAGGAAGAAGAAAACCUCGAAUUUCAUCUGCUUCUCCAAGGAAAUGUCAGGCAGCUGCUGCUUUUAUUUUCUAGGCACCAGAGGCUUCUGUGAAGGGCAGUGCGGAUCCAUGCUUCUUCAGCGCCCCCACGGCAUCAUGCAUAGAAGUGGCAGCUGCUAGUGUGGCAGGAUUAGUGAAAGGGCAACAACCUGGCUGAAGCCACACUUGUGUAACAAGCCCACUGCUUUCACUUCACUCCCAUGGUUGUUUAGUACCUUGGAGUGAGGUGGUGGAUUCUGCUACAUGUACUCUUCCCAGGAAUAUAACCCAGGUCGUCACCAUGAAAGCAUGAACCUUCAGUCACCCACCCAAGAGGAUUCACAGACACAUUUCAAGAAUUUUCUUGAAUGGACUAUGCUUAUAGACCACCUGGUCAGGGAAGGAAGGAGGCCAGGGCACUGAAGGAAGGCUUCCAGCCAAGGAGAGCAGGCUGGGGGUGAGAGGAAGAAAGGGAAGGAGGGGUUGAAGUAUGAAGCGAGUGCAGUUAGGUCACAGUUUUGCCUGGGAGAGACAUGCUGGGUCUGAGAUGGUACUGGUCACUCCUUGUGCCCAGCUCUCUUGCCCUAUCUGCACAGCUCUUCCUUGUGACCACGGGGUGUCAAGUAUUCCCUUUCUGCUUUCACUUGCCUUGGCCUUUCAUGGGUAGAAUUAGAUAUCCUGCCAGACAAACUCUGCCAAGAGCAGUCUCUGGUAUUUAGAGCUAUAGACGUUAUUGUAAUAGGUGCCACUCCAUAGGCCAAAGGUAGAUGGCUUAUCUUUAGGCGACCGUGACACCCAUCAGUGAGGCUACAGAUCGCACGUCCAUCAUACCAUGACCGUCAGGCACAAAGUAUGGAGAAAAAGAAUCAGAAGAUCCAUACCAUUCAACCAAGUUCCAUCCUGAUGCCCCACGAGAUAUGACAGUUUCCACCAGCCUCCCUAGUCUCCUGUCCAAUAGCUCUGAUCAAAGGAAUGCUAUGGUCUUUGGACUCAAGACCUGCACCUGUUUCCUUCCCUAGGGUGAGAAGUGGCUAUAAACAUCUGUCUUGACCCUGCAUCUCCUGAUACACUGUCAUGAAAAUAAAAAAAUACAACAUUGGCCUUUGCUGUCAAUGUGUCCUCUUCCCAAAGUGUC